rnacentral:lncRNA from 10 species
ACCCGUCUGCAAGCCAGGAAGAGAGCCCUUGCCAGAAACUAAACCCCGCUGGAAACUUGAUUUUGCGCUUUCCAGCCUCUAGAACUAAUAUGUGAAAAACAUUUAAAUCAGAAAGUAAAUGACAGGAUGAUUUGCAAGACACAGGGAUGUAAAAUUAAAAAGCCUCUCGAGCUCCAAAGCUACCUGUUAACUUCAACAAGCACACUGGCCUGGAGACUACAUGAUGGUGUAUCAGUAAUGGUGCCUCUCCAUCAUUGCCCAUCAAAGACAUUUCUGAUGCUCCAGAAGGAUACCCUUGAGGUCAUCCUGUUCUCACCUCCAAUAUUCAUUAUGAUCUCUAACAUCACUAUAUACAACAUUUUUGUAUAUAUAGAA